UCCCGCUGCCCUCUUUGGGCGUUUCCUCCCUAGACUUCGGGCCGCCCUUAGGGGCGGCUUUUUUUUGUUCUAGA
rnacentral:sRNA from 22 species